CAGGGAAUAUUAGUAAUGGGCGAAAGCCUGAACUAGCAACGCCGCGUGUGCGAAGAAGGCCUUCGGGUUGUAAAGCACUUUUUGAGAGGAUGAGGAAGGACGGCACUCUCAGAAUAAGUCUCGGCUAACUACGUGCCAGCAGCCGCGGUAACACGUAGGAGGCGAACGUUAUCCGGAUUUACUGGGCGUAAAGCGCGUGUAGGUGGUUUGGUAAGUAGGGCGUGAAAGCUCUGGCUCAACUGGGAGAGGCCGUUCUAAACUGCCGAACUAGAGGAUGGUAGAGGGAGGUGGAAUUCCGGGUGUAGCGGUGGAAUGCGCAGAUAUCCGGAGGAACACCAGUGGCGAAAGCGGCCUCCUGGACCAUUCCUGACACUCAGACGCGAAAGCUAGGGUAGCAAACGG
rnacentral:rRNA from 1 species